rnacentral:rRNA from 1 species
UGGGGAAUAUUGGACAAUGGGCGAAAGCCUGAUCCAGCCAUGCCGCGUGUGUGAAGAAGGUCUUCGGAUUGUAAAGCACUUUAAGUUGGGAGGAAGGGCAUUAACCUAAUACGUUAGUGUUUUGACGUUACCGACAGAAUAAGCACCGGCUAACUCUGUGCCAGCAGCCGCGGUAAUACAGAGGGUGCAAGCGUUAAUCGGAAUUACUGGGCGUAAAGCGCGCGUGGGUGGUUUGUUAAGUUGGAUGUGAAAUCCCCGGGCUCAACCUGGGAACUGCAUUCAAAACUGACUGACUAGAGUAUGGUAGAGGGUGGUGGAAUUUCCUGUGUAGCGGUGAAAUGCGUAGAUAUAGGAAGGAACACCAGUGGCGAAGGCGACCACCUGGACUAAUACUGACACUGAGGUGCGAAAGCGUGGGGAGCAAACA